UACGUAGGUGGCAAGCGUUGUCCGGAUUUACUGGGCGUAAAGAGCGCGCAGGCGGUCGUUUAAGUCGAAUGUGAAAGCCCCCGGCUCAACUGGGGAGGGUCAUUCGAUACUGAUCGACUUGAAGGCAGGAGAGGGAAGUGGAAUUCCGGGUGUAGUGGUGAAAUGCGUAGAUAUCCGGAGGAACACCAGUGGCGAAGGGCGAACUUCCUGGCC
rnacentral:rRNA from 1 species